GUUACUUGAGUAUUUUAACAAUUAUCCUCCCUCCACAGGCAACCAGCUCACUUCUCAAUGAGGAGCAGCUGUGCAGAGCCCAGAACAAAAGGCUACAUGCUAAUUACUAAAAUACUCAAUAAAUACAAUUAAAACUUCUCGUGUGCAAAUUGUUAUUUAUGUGCAAAUCUCUGCUUAAAGUGCAGUGCUAAAUAAAGUGC